GGCGGGACGAACGCCGCGGGCCGAGCCUGCUUAACUCCCUGCCGGGUUAUUCUCUGCCACUUCUAAGUCGCAGCCCCCAGGCUCCGUCUUCUCCUGCGUGGCGCUGGAGAAACACCCGAAAGAGAGAGUCCUAGAAUGUCUGCUGUGGCCCUGCGACCUGACUGCCACCUUCCAGGACUCUAGCCCUGGCUCCUUCUAACCUUCUCGCCCCUCAGUGCCCCAGGGAGGCUGCUGUGCCAACAAUUAUUCAUCAGCCGGAAGAAAAGGAGGUGCCAGUGUUAGGCGCAGAAGAGGUUUGGACCAGAAAAGCUGGAGAGGGGCAAGAAAGGAAAGAGGGGUUAGAGGGAAGGCGGAAAAAGUGGGGAGGGGUAACAGCUCGAGCUUUUCCUCUAGGGUAGUUUGUCUUCUCUCGGUCCCGCCUCCUCUGCUUCUUGCCUCAGUUCCCCACUCCCACCCGUGCACCUCUGCGGCAGGCGUGUGAAAGAAGUGGGAGGGGGGGGGCUUUUGGUCGGGAUAUCUGGUCCUCCAGACCCUACAGCCUUGGCUGAGAACUUACUUAAGCCCACUCCAACUGACUUGAUAAAUAAGAAUCUUGACCAGUCCAAUGGUAGGUAGAAAUGAGGGACAUCAUCUGUCCCUGAACAGAAUAACCCGAAAUCGCAGGUCCCAUGGAUGUGGGAAUCCACAGCACUGACUGCGCUCCUAAGGCUCGUAAGUCCACUUCUGAACCUCAUCUAAGACCCUGAAAGCCAGACUAGGGAUACAUUUUUUUAUUAUUAUUACUAUUUUUUUAUUUGAGACGGGGUCUCCCUCUGUCGCCCAGGCUCGAGUGCAGUCGUGCGAUCUCGGCUCACUGCAACCUCCGCCUCCCGGUUUCAAGCGGUUUUCGUGCCUCGGCCUCCCGAGGAGCUGGAUCUACAGGUGCGCACCACCACACCUGGAUAAUUUCUGUAUUUUUAGUAGAGACAGGGUUUCACCAUGUUUGCAUAGCUUGUCUCGAACUGUUGACCUCAAGUUAUCCUCCCGCCUCUGCCUCCUAAAGUGCUGGGAUUACAGGCCUGAGCCUCCUCGCCCGUCUUAUAUGUUGGAUCUUUUCCCAGACCUCCUCCUCAGAUGUGGACCGUACAGAUGAUGCUCCAUCGGUUACUCUGAUCCUGGCUUUGGGACUGCCAGAUAAAACUGGGAGAAACCCUACAUUUACUCUUACUGUAACGUAUUGGCUUGAAACUGCAGCAAGACCAACUCCCCUCCUCCCCUUCCUCCUCCUCAGCAUAUUCACCAUGAAGACAUGAG